CCCACCAAAAAUUCCCAAUUACCAGCCCACCAACCCAAUAAAAUAACCCGACCCAGACCCCUAUUCUCUUAACAGCAAAACAACACCAAUUUCAAUGGAGAACAGCUCCAUCAACGGGAAAAACCCGACUUCAAAAAACAGCUACAAACGACAACCCAACGGCAAAACCUGACUCGAUUCCAGUGAAUCAACCAGGGUUCAGCCAACCGUACCCGUCCGUUUCCAACUACAACCAACCAGCGACCCGACAGUCUGAACCAGCAAACCCGAACCCAGCUUCCCAAAAAUGACCUGAUAUCAACAAACCGCAAAAUCCAAAUCCAAAAAUCCUUUCAAAUUUUGAACGUUUGUACGAUUUUCGUACAACACAUAACUGUCAAGCCUUAUCACCAAAUAAAAUUCCAAAAAAUCAAAAUUUACCCCUGGAUUCCUCCUCUUCCUCAUCGGUUGAGGCCUAGAAAUUCAACCCUCGAAUUUUCCUAUAAAAGGGCUCACUAUUGAGCUAAAGAGGGAAGCCUUGAAGGUUGAUAAAACCUUUGAGCAAAGAAGUCUCAUUUUCUUAGUAUAAAAGUUUUUCUCCGUGAAAUUCAUCGAUUAACCGAAGUUUCCGAGUUGACGAUGACGCUUUUCGAUAGUCGAUGGAUUCCGACAAAUCUCAAGUCUCAUUUUUCCGUCCCAAAAAAGCCCAAAAGAAGUUCCAAAAUCGAUCUCAUGGCAUAUGGAUAUAAGGAGUCGAAAGAAGAAGGACAGGUUGAAAUCCAUUUUUAAAGUGGUGAAAAGACUCAAAAGUCUCAUUAAUUAUUUUAUUUAUUUACUUAUUGUUGUCUUUAUUUAUUUAUUUAUUUAUUCGUAUGCCUUGAAGCCAAAGUUGUAAAGAUAAUACAGGUAGAGCGGACUUUGGGCCAAAAAGGCUCGAAAACUAGAUUAGGAUAGGUGAAAUGGGUCGAAAGUCAAAUUAAACUAGGACAGGUUUCGUUGAUUUGGGCCCAAGGCCUAAAUCUUUUACUUUCUCCUCCCUUUCCCCUUUUAUGUGUUUAUUUGCUUAUUAGUUUUGUUUAACCAUAGUUAAAAUCCUUACUAAGUCGCUUAAAUUUGUUUUAUGCAAGUGUUUUCUAAAUCGAUCACUUUUCAACAAAUCAAUCUUUUUUUAAGUUAGUCAAAAGAUGUUUUCAAAUAGAUCGGAUAACCACAAGUUAGCGAACGUUUUAGGUUCUUUAAAAACCUUCCUAAAACGUUAAUAGGAACUGCUUACUCAGAAUCAUCGAAACUUAAACGAUUUUUCUAUUUUGGAUUGUUUAGAGUGUCUAAUAAAGGUUUUUAAAUUCUUUUUCAAAAUUAAGUGGCGACUCUCUAAAAGUCGAAAUUUUUGCAAAACAAAUGAUAAGUUGGAGACUUGGAGGGAGAUGCUUGAGUCUAAAGGAUUUCGGUUAAGUAGAACCAAGAUGGAGUACUUGGAGUGUAAGUUCAGUGAUAUGUCGUAGGAGGUUGGAGUGGUUGUGAAGCUGGACUUUUAGGCCAUUGAGAAGAGGGUGAGUUUCAAGUAUAUAGGGUCUAUGAUUCAAGACAAUGGUAUUGACGAUGAUGUCACGCAUCACAUUGGGGCAGGAUGGUUGAAAUGGAGGUUCGCUUCAGGAGUUCUAUGUGAUAAGAAGGUGCCACCUAAGCUUAAAGGUAAGUUCUAUAAAGUGGUAGUUCGGCCAACUAUGUUAUAUGGAGCGGAGUGUUGGCCAGUUAAGAGCUUCAAAAAGUUAAAGGUGGCGGAGAUGCAAAUAUUGCGAUGGAUAUAUGGACAUACCAGGAAAGAUAGGGUGAAGAAUGAGAUUAUUCGAGGGAAGGUGGGAGUUUUCUCGGUGGAGGACAAGAUAUAAAAAGUAAGGUUACGUUGGUUCGGGCAUGUGAUGAGGAGAGGCUUUGAUGCUUCAGUGUGGAGGUGCGAGACACUAGCUAUGGAUGGUUUUAAGUGGGGUAGAGGUAGACCGAAGAAAUACUGGAGGGAGGUGAUUAGGCAUGGUAUGGAGCAGUUACAGCUUACGGAGGACAUGAUCCUUGAUAGGAAGGUGUGGAGGAAGCGGAUUAGGGCAGAGGGUUAUGGGGUGGGAGUGCGUUGGUAAUAGUAGGGGAGUGUUCUUUUGUGUCUAGAGUUUUUUGUUCGUGGUGUUAUGGCUGUAGUAUUAUCGUGUGGCUAUUUUGCAUACCAUACUAGUUUAUAUGCAUUUAUCUUUGGUGUUUGUUAUAUUGUUCGUUUAUUUUGCGUGCCGUGCUAGUUUAUAUGCACUUAUCUUUUGUGCUUGGUAUACUGUUAUCGGUCCUAAGCCCGAGGUCUAUCGAAAACAAUCUCUCUACUUCAACUGAUGUAUGGUAUGGUCUACGAACACUCUACCCUCCCCAGACCCCUCUAUGUGGGAAAACACAGGGUAUGUUGUUGUUUUAGAGUAUUUUUGGAUUUAGAAUGUAUUCUAUAUUUUAUUGUUAGUUUUCUUAUAAGUCUCGCUUCUAGUUUAGAGAUCUUGGUUAUUAUUUUAUCUAAUUUUUUUGAAUUUUGUUUUUUCUGAUUUAAAUUGAUGUUUACUGGAUAUAAUUCUUCUUACUUACUUCUAAUAUUUUGGAGUUUUCUCAUUAAGCUGAGUAAAUACUUUUAUCUUUCCUAAACUUUUCUUCUAACCGUACUCUUUUUAUGUAAUAAUGUAUUUUAGAUCCUACUUAUGCUAUUCUAGCGUCUAUUUGACGUAUGUUAUGAUGAAUUUCUUCAGUUUGAUCUCCUAUGGCUAGCGAAGCCUGAAGUAAACUAUAGUAUAACUAUUUUUGUUCUGUUAAACAAUCAUAUACCGCUCUCUUGAAGAAAAAUCAGGCGAAGAUAGCUCGAAUAGAAUAAAAUUCGAUAAUUCACUCAAAUGUGAUAAAGGAGAUAAUUGCACAUGCAAGGAUAGCAAAAAGGUAACAACUUAUGAAAAACUGCAAGACUUGUUAGACAUAGACGGAUUAGAAAAAGAAUACACUUUAAUAGAAAUAAAUACAGAACUUUUCCUCUAUUCCCACCUUCUUGUAAUCUAAUAGGUUCUUCUAUUGA